rnacentral:rRNA from 1 species
UGAACUGGAGAGUUUGAUCCUGGCUCAGAUUGAACGCUGGCGGUAGGCCUAACACAUGCAAGUCGAACGGUAACGGACCGCUGGGAUUCCUUCGGGAUGGCCUUGGUGCCGACGAGUGGCGGACGGGUGAGUAACACGUAGGAAUCUGCCCAACAGAGGGGGACAACCCGGAGAAAUCCGGGCUAAUACCGCAUACGCCCUA